AUUGAACGCUGGCGGCAGGCCUAACACAUGCAAGUCGAGCGGAUGAAGGGAGCUUGCUCCUGGAUUCAGCGGCGGACGGGUGAGUAAUGCCUAGGAAUCUGCCUGGUAGUGGGGGAUAACGUCCGGAAACGGGCGCUAAUACCGCAUACGUCCUGAGGGAGAAAGUGGGGGAUCUUCGGACCUCACGCUAUCAGAUGAGCCUAGGUCGGAUUAGCUAGUUGGUGGGGUAAAGGCCUACCAAGGCGACGAUCCGUAACUGGUCUGAGAGGAUGAUCAGUCACACUGGCACUGAGACACGGUCCAGACUCCUACGGGAGGCAGCAGUGGGGAAUAUUGGACGAUGGGCGAAAGCCUGAUCCAGCCAUGCCGCGUGUGUGAAGAAGGUCUUCGGAUUGUAAAGCACUUUAAGUUGGGAGGAAGGGCAGUAAGUUAAUACCUUGCUGUUUUGACGUUACCAACAGAAUAAGCACCGGCUAACUUCGUG
rnacentral:rRNA from 1 species